rnacentral:rRNA from 1 species
GACGAACGCUGGCGGCGUGCCUAAUACAUGCAAGUCGGACGGUCUUUUCUAUGGAAGCUUGCUUCCACUGAGAAGAUAGUGGCGAACGGGUGAGUAACACGUGGGUAACCUGCCCAUAAGAGGGGGAUAACAUCCGGAAACGGAAAUUAAGACCGCAUAAGACGGCAUGUCCGCAUGGACGAGCCGUUAAAUAUUUAUAGGUAACAGAUGGGCAUGCGCGGCAUUAGGUAGUUGGCGGGGUAACGGCCCACCAAGCCUUCGAUGCCUAGGGGUUCUGAGAGGAAGGCCCCCCACACUGGUACUGAGACACGAACCAGACUCCUACGGGAGGCAGCAGUGAGGAAUAUUGGUCAAUGGGCGCAAGCCUGAACCAGCCAUGUCGCGUGCAGGACGACGGCCCUACGGGUUGUAAACUGCUUUUGUACGGGAAGAAAAAAGACUACGUGUAGUUUCUUGCCGGUACCGUACGAAUAAGGAUCGGCUAACUCCGUGCCAGCCGCCGCCGUAAUAC